AGAGAAAUUCAAAAAGAAGAUAAAUUGAGAAACCCAAUUGACAAAUGAGUCGAUGUGUUGCCUGGACCCAAGGUCUACAGAUAUACAACAUAUGCAAGCCUGCUCUACAUGUCUAACAACGACUACCAUCAUGCAAGCAACAAGUAUAGAUGAACGAACGAUAGCAAAAGCAACCGACAUGUAGAGACUACAAUACUGAUAUAGAAUAACAAAAAAAAAUUGAAACGAUCUCACCGACUACCAGCUCGAAGCACCUACCUGUCACUACCAAGUCGGGAACCUAGGUGCGCAACAAGUCAAUCGGACCUACGAAGAUCCACCGGGUCAGUAUCCAACCCACUAAUCCAAAAUACCGAACUCACGAACCCCACACAAAUCCCCGAAAUCGGUUUCCUAAAAUCGAUCACCGUAACUCGUUGAAAGUCCCGAAAAUCACCUCGGGAUGCUGUCGGGACCCACUA
rnacentral:lncRNA from 1 species